GAGUUUGAUCAUGGCUCAGGACGAACGCUGGCGGUGUGCUUAACACAUGCAAGUGGAGCGACGAACCAGAGCUUGCUCUGGGGCAGAGCCGCGAACGGGUGAGUAACACGUGGGUAACCUACCCCGAUGACUGGGACAACCCGAGGAAACUCGGGCUAAUACCGGAUAUGUCCGACAUUCACGAGGAUGUCGAGCAAAGGAAGCUUCGGCCUCCGCAUUGGGACGGGCCCGCGGCCCAUUAGCUAGUUGGUGGGGUAAUGGCCUACCAAAGGCUGCGAUGGGUAGCUGGUCUGAGAGGACGAUCAGCCACACUGGGACUGAGACACGGCCCAGACUCCUACGGGAGGCAGCAGUGGGGAAUCUUGCGCAAUGCGCGAAAGCGUGACGCAGCAACACCGCGUGAGGGAAGACGGCCU
rnacentral:rRNA from 1 species